AGUGAACGCUGGCGGUAGGCCUAACACAUGCAAGUCGAGCGGCAGCACAGUAAGAGCUUGCUCCUACGGGUGGCGAGUGGCGGACGGGUGAGGAAUACAUCGGAAUCUACUUUUUCGUGGGGGAUAACGUAGGGAAACUUACGCUAAUACCGCAUACGACCUACGGGUGAAAGCAGGGGAUCUUCGGACCUUGCGCGAUUGAAUGAGCCGAUGUCGGAUUAGCUAGUUGGCGGGGUAAAGGCCCACCAAGGCGACGAUCCGUAGCUGGUCUGAGAGGAUGAUCAGCCACACUGGAACUGAGACACGGUCCAGACUCCUACGGGAGGCAGCAGUGGGGAAUAUUGGACAAUGGGCGCAAGCCUGAUCCAGCCAUACCGCGUGGGUGAAGAAGGCCUUCGGGUUGUAAAGCCCUUUUGUUGGGAAAGAAAAGCAGCAGGUUAAUACCCCGCUGUUCUGACGGUACCCAAAGAAUAAGCACCGGCUAACUUCGUG
rnacentral:rRNA from 1 species